GCCCACUCUUGGAUAGCCAAGAGGUCCACUGGCGUGCCACUUGAAAGCGUCUCCUCGACCAUGUUGAAGAUUUUUGCGCUGGGGCCUAGCGAGUCAAGUACUUUAUCUUGACAGUGGCGUAGCGAAUAAUCUAGCCCUUUCUUGGCUUUCCAGCCCGACUUUCCCAAAAAUUGGGCAAUCUUUGGGUCCAGUUCUGGUGUGGCGCACGCCAUA